rnacentral:rRNA from 1 species
AGAGUUUGAUCAUGGCUCAGAUUGAACGCUGGCGGUAUGCUUAACACAUGCAAGUCGAACGGAAACGAUACUAGCUUGCUAGUAGGCGUCGAGUGGCGGACGGGUGAGUAACGCGUAGGAAUCUGCCUGAUAGUGGGGGAUAGCCCGGAGAAAUUCGGAUUAAUACCGCAUAAUCUAUUCGUAGUAAAGUGGGGGACUUUCGAGCCUCACGCUAUCAGAUGAGCCUGCGUAAGAUUAGCUUGUUGGUAGGGUAAAAGCCUACCAAGGCUACGAUCUUUAGCUGGUCUGAGAGGAUGAUCAGCCACAUCGGGACUGAGACACGGCCCGAACUCCUACGGGAGGCAGCAGUGGGGAAUAUUGGACAAUGGGGGCAACCCUGAUCCAGCAAUACCGCGUGUGUGAAGAAGGCCUGAGGGUUGUAAAGCACUUUCAAUUGUGAAGAAAAGUUAACGGUUAAUAACCGUUAGCCUUGACGUUAACUUUAGAAGAAGCACCGGCUAACUCCGUGCCAGCAGCCGCGGUAAUACGGAGGGUGCAAGCGUUAAUCGGAAUUACUGGGCGUAAAGCGUGCGUAGGUGGUUUAUUAAGUCAGAUGUGAAAGCCCCGGGCUUAACCUGGGAACUGCAUUUGAAACUGGUAAACUAGAGUAUGGUAGAGGAAAGUGGAAUUUCUGGUGUAGCGGUGAAAUGCGUAGAUAUCAGAAGGAACAUCAAUGGCGAAGGCAGCUUUCUGGACCAAUACUGACACUGAGGUACGAAAGCGUGGGUAGCAAACAGGAUUAGAUACCCUGGUAGUCCACGCCGUAAACGAUGAUAACUAGCCGUUGGGGGGAUUUACCCUUUAGUGGCGAAGCUAACGCGUUAAGUUAUCCGCCUGGGGAGUACGGCCGCAAGGUUAAAACUCAAAGGAAUUGACGGGGACCCGCACAAGCGGUGGAGCAUGUGGUUUAAUUCGAUGCAACGCGAAGAACCUUACCUGGUCUUGACAUCCUGCGAACUUUCUAGAAAUAGAUUGGUGCCUUCGGGAACGCAGUGACAGGUGCUGCAUGGCUGUCGUCAGCUCGUGUCGUGAGAUGUUGGGUUAAGUCCCGUAACGAGCGCAACCCCUAUCCUUAUUUGCCAGCACAUUAUGGUGGGAACUAUAAGGAGACUGCCGGUGAUAAACCGGAGGAAGGCGGGGACGACGUCAAGUCAUCAUGGCCCUUACGACCAGGGCUACACACGUGCUACAAUGGGAAGGACAAAGAGCCGCGAAGCCGCGAGGUGUAGCUAAUCUCAUAAACCUUUUCGUAGUCCGGAUUGGAGUCUGCAACUCGACUCCAUGAAGUCGGAAUCGCUAGUAAUCGUAGAUCAGAAUGCUACGGUGAAUACGUUCCCGGGUCUUGUAUACACCGCCCGUCAUACCAUGGGAGUGGGUUGCACCAGAAGUGGCUAGUCUAACUUAGUGAGGACGGUCACCACGGUGUGAUUCAUGACUGGGGUAAAGUCGUAACAAGGUA